rnacentral:rRNA from 1 species
UACGGAGGAUCCAAGCGUUAUCCGGAAUCAUUGGGUUUAAAGGGUCCGUAGGCGGUUUGAUAAGUCAGUGGUGAAAUCCAGUCGCUCAACGAUUGAACGGCCAUUGAUACUGUUGAACUUGAAUUAUUAGGAAGUAACUAGAAUAUGUAGUGUAGCGGUGAAAUGCUUAGAGAUUACAUGGAAUACCAAUUGCGAAGGCAGGUUACUACUAAUGGAUUGACGCUGAUGGACGAAAGCGUGGGUAGCGAACAGG